CUUAACAUUAGUCUGCAUUCAUCCUGUCCUUUCUUGACUGUGGAUGUCACAUGACCAGCUGCUGCAAGCUUAUGCUGCCUUGACUUCCCUGCAGUGAUGGACUGCACUUUGAACUCCCAAACACCAGAGAAGCAGAUGGAGGGCUUUUUGAUGUUAACUGCUCACAAUCGGGUCAGAAUGGUGAUCACCAAGAAGACCGAUGAUGGUGCAUGCUGGGUAAUGCAUCACAGCAACAGAAAUGAAGUUGGGACAGCACUACACUUAGAAACACACUGUGCAUUGACUUGAGUGUGUGUACGUUAAGUGUUCCAGAGUAAAAGUCCAUUGCCCUUGAAGAUUUGUGUCUUUUGUCUUAAUGUAAAUUUAAAAAG